UACAGAGGUGGCAAGCGUUGUUCGGAAUUACUGGGCGUAAAGGGCGCGUAGGCGGCCUUCUAAGUCAGACGUGAAAUCCCCAGGCUUGACUUGGGAACUGCGUCUGAUACUGGGAGGCUUGAGUGCGGGAGAGGGAUGUGGAAUUCCAGGUGUAGCGGUGAAAUGCGUAGAUAUCUGGAGGAACACCGGUGGCGAAGGCGGCAUCCUGGACCGACACUGACGCUGAGGCGCGAAAGCUAGGGGAGCAAACGGG
rnacentral:rRNA from 1 species